rnacentral:lncRNA from 1 species
AUGCCGCAGUCUGGAAUCUCUCACGUCACCUGCCCGCCCCGCGCAGCUCGGCUCAAUGGCCUUGAGCCAAGCCAAGAACGCCCCGCGCUGCGCCAAUGGGAAGCGGCAAGAGCAUUCUGGCCCCGCCCCUUGGACGCAGGCCCACGUAGCUCACACAUCACCCUGCUUGGCAACAGCCUACGCAUGCGUGCUACAUCCCGAGUCGUGAAGAAGCAGCCGCCAUCGCGCUCAAACAAAAUGGCGGCGGAAGCCGCGCCCGAAGUAAAGAAGGGCAGCGGCCAUCACGCCCCCAUCCCGCAGAGAGGGCCCGGGGCCAACACCUGCCCCACAGCAAAGCCCCCGGAGAGAAAGCCGCCGCGGCAGCAGCUCCCUCCGCCGCACCCAGGACCCCCCCCGGGGCUUGCCCGGCCCCCGCACGAACCUGGGCUGCGCCGGUGUGCGUGCAGGCCGAGGCCGGACGGGCGAGGCGAGCGCUACGAGCGAGUCCUAAGCAACCCUCGAUCCCUCCUCGUCGACGUCUGGCUCCCGACUGGCCAACGCGCUCGGUUUUAAAGGAAGACUGCAGUCAAGAUAGUUAGCGAUAUCCUGAAGCGGAAGAAAUCUGGAAAUUAAAAAUCAUACAGUGCAGUUGUUUCUAUUUGGCUGUAGUUACCGUGCAGUUGGCUUUUCAGAGAAGAGCACAUAAGAGGCUAGAGCAUGGCAAUGCCGUGACAAGACAAAUCCAUUACCACUUUGAAUAAACCCUGAAAGACAGGCA